UAUUAUAAUUGGCUUCUUGCAACUUCUAAGUGCUAGAUAUUAUUUAAUUGAAAUUAACAAAACAUGAAAUUUUUACUUAUAAAGUGAUAACAAAAAUCUAUUUACUACACGCAAAUAAGAACAAAUAUGGCUCAAAUAUACAUGUUAGUUUUUGCAUUCAUCAUCUUUCUUUCUUUACUUCUUGUUAUAACUAGUGGUGAUGGUGGUCCUGCAACUCCAUGCUUCACAGAUUUUGACUGCCCUAAUAAAUUUUUUUGCAAAGAUAAGUUUUGUGCACCCAUUUGAUAGAUAACGUACCACUACACACAUGAUCUAUAUUAUUUUAGAUCUUUAAUGUAUAAUUAAAAUAAGUAAUUAUGGUUUUCAAAUUUUUGACUUCAUGUGGUUGAAUUUGUUACCAUGGGGAAUCAAAUAAGAUUUCUCUAGAAAUACAAUAGGUAAUUAUAGAUUUAAACUAUGCUUGGUUGCUUUCAUUGUGUUUGGUCUUCGUUGAAACUGUACUCUUUUUUCCUUUUAAGGUUUUUAAUGAGACAGUUAUCCAAACAUUUUAUUGUUUUUUUGGGUUUUGGCCUAGUCCCCCCAAAAUAUCUUUUGUAUUUUUUAUUUUGUUUAUCAAUAAAAUUCUCACGGUAUUGCAAAA